rnacentral:rRNA from 1 species
UACGUAGGAGACGAGCGUUGUCCGGAGUUACUGGGCGUAAAGGGUGCGCAGGUGGCGGCGCGCGUGGGGGGUGAAAUCGCCCGGCUUAACUGGGCGGGGGCCUUCCAGACGGCGUGGCUGGAGCAGCGGAGGGGGACGUGGAAUUCCGGGUGGAGCGGUGGAAUGCGCAGAUAUCAGGAGGAACACCGGUGGCGAAGGCGGUUCUCUGGGCCUUACCUGACGCUGAGGAGCGAAAGCGUGGGGAGCGAACAGG